rnacentral:tRNA from 1 species
GUUCUUGAGGUGUAACUUAGCACAUCAGGUUUUCAUCCUGAAAGAAUAAAAAUCAUUUAUCUAGAACA